rnacentral:rRNA from 1 species
AGAGUUUGAUCCUGGCUCAGAACGAACGCUGGCGGCAGGCUUAACACAUGCAAGUUGAACGGGAUUUGUGUGGUGCUUGCACCAUAUAAUGAGAGUAGCGCACUGGUGAGUAACACGUGGGAAUAUACCUAUUGGUGGGGGACAACAGUUGGAAACGACUGCUAAUACCGCAUAAGCCCUAAGGGGGAAAGAUUAAUUGCCGAUAGAUUAGCCCGCGGAAGAUUAGGUAGUUGGUGGGGUAAAGGCCUACCAAGCCUACGAUCUAUAGCUGGUCUGAGAGGACGAUCAGCCACAUUGGAACUGAGACACGGUCCAGACUCCUACGGGAGGCAGCAGUGAGGAAUAUUGGGCAAUGGAGGGAACUCUGACCCAGCCAUGCCGCGUGAGUGAGAAGGUCUUCGGAUUGUAAAGCUCUUUUAUGCAGGAAGAUGAUGACAGUACUGCAAGAAAAAGCACCGGCAAACUUCGUGCCAGCAGCCGCGGUAAUACGAAGGGUGCGAGCGUUGUUCGGAAUUACUGGGCGUAAAGGGUGUGUAGGCGGUUAGGUAAGAUAGCGGUGAAAUGCCGAGGCUCAACCUCGGAAUUGCCGUUAUAACUAUUUAGCUAGAGUGAUAGAGAGGAUAUUGGAAUACCCAGUGUAGAGGUGAAAUUCGUAGAUAUUGGGUAGAACACCGGUGGCGAAGGCGGCUAUCUGGCCAUAUACUGACGCUGAGGCACGAAAGCAUGGGGAUCAAACAGGAUUAGAUACCCUGGUAGUCCAUGCUGUAAACGAUGAAUGCUGGUUGUCGGCUUUAGGGUCGGUGACGAAGUUAACGCGAUAAGCAUUCCGCCUGGGGAGUACGGUCGCAAGAUUAAAACUCAAAGGAAUUGACGGGGACCCGCACAAGCGGUGGAGCAUGUGGUUUAAUUCGAUGCAACGCGAAGAACCUUACCAACUCUUGACAUCCUUAUCGGGGGGCGCAGAGAUGAGCCCUUUCAGUUAGGCUGGAUAAGUGACAGAUGCUGCAUGGCUGUCGUCAGCUCGUGUCGUGAGAUGUUGGGUUAAGUCCC